UGAGGAAUAUUGCGCAAUGGGGGCAACCCUGACGCAGCAACGCCGCGUGAGCGAUGAAGGCCUUCGGGUCGUAAAGCUCUGUCCUCAAGGAAGAUAAUGACGGUACUUGAGGAGGAAGCCCCGGCUAACUACGUGCCAGCAGCCGCGGUAAUACGUAGGGGGCUAGCGUUAUCCGGAAUUACUGGGCGUAAAGGGUGCGUAGGUGGUUUCUUAAGUCAGAGGUGAAAGGCUACGGCUCAACCGUAGUAAGCCUUUGAAACUGAGAAACUUGAGUGCAGGAGAGGAGAGUAGAAUUCCUAGAGUAGCGGUGAAAUGCGUAGAUAUUAGGAGGAAUACCAGUUGCGAAGGCGGCUCUCUGGACUGUAACUGACACUGAGGCACGAAAGCGUGGGGAGCAAACA
rnacentral:rRNA from 1 species